rnacentral:lncRNA from 1 species
AGAAAGGUGGUUUGUUCCUUUAUAUCGACGGACCCCAUUUUGCGGUACUUCUGAAUAUACCCGGACCAGCCGCCGAUGGAGCGGGUUUCUACCUUGGCACUAGGCGUGGUGUCAAAGAAAUGGGUGCUAUCGGUAGAAGAUACAUCUAGACCAGUGAGCAUGACUACAUCGGCAAGAGUAGGGGAGGCAGGGCCGUGGCCAAAGACAAAAGCGUUGAGGGUGUCUGACCAAAAGUAUGAUGCAGCUAUCAGCAGUGAUUCUUUCCUAUGCAUAUUGGCAAUAGACAACCUGAUGCAUUGGUCUAGUUUUCUCUCGCCCCAUUGGACUUCAUUUGAGUGGCUGACCCUCAAGAACCAAUCCUUCCAUCCCACAGUAGGACUGGGCUAGGAACGGAAGGUAUCCUUCCAUAGAUCCAAAGAGAAGUUCUCGGCUCUAAAAGGGAUCCUGUUGGUUUCGGCGUUAAUGAGGUCGGUUGGAUCUGGAUUCCCUAACGGACCAAGACAUUGGAGGUGUGGUUGAUCAGUGGGGAUGACAAUUUUGUUGGACAGAUCCUAAUGGUUUUGGGUAUAUAAGGAAGAACAAGAACAAAAAAGAAAAAAAGGAAAAUGUUCAGUAAAAUAGACUGCGGAUGAACAGGGAUGCGAGAAAAAAGACAAAAAGAGGGACGAAGAACUGACCUCAGGGACGGUGAAGUUGAUGGCCAUCUCGUCACAAGGAAGAUGAUCUAGGGCUUCGGAGUUGGUGAAGCAGGGGCUUCGUUGGAGAUCUUGGAGCUCUCGAACGGCGCCGCCGCCGGGAAAAUGGAGUUGGAGGUGUGGAAUGAUGUGAUGGAGAAGGAGUACCCGAGAAGGAACUAUUUAUAGGACAAAACGGGCAAGGGCAAAUCUGACUUAUCUCUUCGCCGUAUCCAUGAAAUCCGAGGGUACUCAGGUAGAUAUGGUAACUGUUCGUACGGUAAUCAAGGGAUUGUGCAGCAGAUUUGACAGGAAGUGGUCAUUAUCCGUAGAUAUUUCACUGUGCGAGAUCUCCUGGUCGGUCCAUCGGCAGCGCCUUGUAACGGUCAUAUUGCCGAUGGGCGAGUAACGUGGAAAUAGUCAUUUGGGAAGAUAAGUUAUGAGCGUCCAUCCGCAAGUCCCUGUAACGGUAAUAUUGCCGAUGUGCGACUAAAGUGGGAAUGUCCGUUCGGGGAAGUUGAGGAUUUCGAGGAAUAGCAGAGGAAUAGGAUCAGAGUUGUUCAGAUUAAGGCUGUUCGUUACCAGAUUGGGAGCAUUAAUUGCGGAAAGGCAUCAUUACUGCAGAGACUUUCGGAGCCUUAAUGAUUUCAUACUCCAAAAUUGGGGGGCAUGUGUUGACACCGUUUUUGGGCAUGUGUCCAUGAUUAGUAAAGUGUAGGUAGGCAAGAUAAGACGGCAGUGUUUGAUCUACAGGAUGAAUUGCCGAUGAGGAUGGUUGCCGAUGGAGGAGUGGUUGAACGAGACCAAGUCCAUAGGUGAUGAUGUGUUUGUGCCGAUGGCUACGACAAGGGAGUUUGCUGAUGAUAUAGGAGGAGAAUCUGGAAGUUGCCGAUCGGUUUGUGGAGGUGUUCCAGUUUGUCACGGGGGGAUAGUUUUAUUUUUUCCUUAGUUAUUUAAGUCGUUUUGUAUACGGAUUCUGUGUA